AAAGUGGCUUAUGCUACUGCGAUGGAUUGGUUUAUUGCUGUAUGCUAUGCCUUU
rfam:Ophiophagus hannah scaffold1497.1, whole genome shotgun sequence.